GGCGUGUGACUGCGUACCUUUUGUAUAAUGGGUCAGCGACUUAUAUUCUGUAGCAAGGUUAACCGAAUAGGGGAGCCGAAGGGAAACCGAGUCUUAACUGGGCGUUAAGUUGCAGGGUAUAGACCCGAAACCCGGUGAUCUAGCCAUGGGCAGGUUGAAGGUUGGGUAACACUAACUGGAGGACCGAACCGACUAAUGUUGAAAAAUUAGCGGAUGACUUGUGGCUGGGGGUGAAAGGCCAAUCAAACCGGGAGAUAGCUGGUUCUCCCCGAAAGCUAUUUAGGUAGCGCCUCGUGAAUUCAUCUCCGGGGGUAGAGCACUGUUUCGGCAAGGGGGUCAUCCCGACUUACCAACCCGAUGCAAACUGCGAAUACCGGAGAAUGUUAUCACGGGAGACACACGGCGGGUGCUAACGUCCGUCGUGAAGAGGGAAACAACCCAGACCGCCAGCUAAGGUCCCAAAGUCAUGGUUAAGUGGGAAACGAUGUGGGAAGGCCCAGACAGCCAGGAUGUUGGCUUAGAAGCAGCCAUCAUUUAAAGAAAGCGUAAUAGCUCACUGGUCGAGUCGGCCUGCGCGGAAGAUGUAACGGGGCUAAACCAUGCACCGAAGCUGCGGCAGCGACGCUUAUGCNAAGCGUAAUAGCUCACUGGUCGAGUCGGCCUGCGCGGAAGAUGUAACGGGGCUAAACCAUGCACCGAAGCUGCGGCAGCGACACUAUGUNGGAGCGUUCUGUAAGCCUGCGAAGGUGUGCUGUGAGGCAUGCUGGAGGUAUCAGAAGUGCGAAUGCUGACAUAAGUAACGAUAAAGCGGGUGAAAAGCCCGCUCGCCGGAAGACCAAGGGUUCCUGUCCAACGUUAAUCGGGGCAGGGUGAGUCGACCCCUAAGGCGAGGCCGAAAGGCGUAGUCGAUGGGAAACAGGUUAAUAUUCCUGUACUUGGUGUUACUGCGAAGGGGGGACGGAGAAGGCUAUGUUGGCCGGGCGACGGUUGUCCCGGUUUAAGCGUGUAGGCUGGUUUUCCAGGCAAAUCCGGAAAAUCAAGGCUGAGGCGUGAUGACGAGGCACUACGGUGCUGAAGCAACAAAUGCCCUGCUUCCAGGAAAAGCCUCUAAGCAUCAGGUAACAUCAAAUCGUACCCCAAACCGACACAGGUGGUCAGGUAGAGAAUACCAAGGCGCUUGAGAGAACUCGGGUGAAGGAACUAGGCAAAAUGGUGCCGUAACUUCGGGAGAAGGCACGCUGAUAUGUAGGUGAAGCGACUUGCUCGUGGAGCUGAAAUCAGUCGAAGAUACCAGCUGGCUGCAACUGUUUAUUAAAAACACAGCACUGUGCAAACACGAAAGUGGACGUAUACGGUGUGACGCCUGCCCGGUGCCGGAAGGUUAAUUGAUGGGGUUAGCCGCAAGGCGAAGCUCUUGAUCGAAGCCCCGGUAAACGGCGGCCGUAACUAUAACGGUCCUAAGGUAGCGAAAUUCCUUGUCGGGUAAGUUCCGANGCGAAGCUCUUGAUCGAAGCCCCGGUAAACGGCGGCCGUAACUAUAACGGUCCUAAGGUAGCGAAAUUCCUUGUCGGGUAAGUUCCGACCUGCACGAAUGGCGUAAUGAUGGCCAGGCUGUCUCCACCCGAGACUCAGUGAAAUUGAACUCGCUGUGAAGAUGCAGUGUACCCGCGGCAAGACGGAAAGACCCCGUGAACCUUUACUAUAGCUUGACACUGAACAUUGAGCCUUGAUGUGUAGGAUAGGUGGGAGGCUU
rnacentral:rRNA from 1 species